rnacentral:rRNA from 1 species
GAUGAACGCUGGCGGCGUGCCUAAUACAUGCAAGUCGAGCGAACGGACGAGAAGCUUGCUUCUCUGAUGUUAGCGGCGGACGGGUGAGUAACACGUGGAUAACCUACCUAUAAGACUGGGAUAACUUCGGGAAACCGGAGCUAAUACCGGAUAAUAUUUUGAACCGCAUGGUUCAAAAGUGAAAGACGGUCUUGCUGUCACUUAUAGAUGGAUCCGCGCUGCAUUAGCUAGUUGGUAAGGUAACGGCUUACCAAGGCAACGAUGCAUAGCCGACCUGAGAGGGUGAUCGGCCACACUGGAACUGAGACACGGUCCAGACUCCUACGGGAGGCAGCGGUAGGGAAUCUUCCGCAAAGGGCGAAAGCCUGACGGAGCAACGCCGCGUGAGUGAUGAAGGUCUUCGGAUCGUAAAACUCUGUUAUUAGGGAAGAACAUAUGUGUAAGUAACUGUGCACAUCUUGACGGUACCUAAUCAGAAAGCCACGGCUAACCACGUG